AACGAACGCUGGCGGCAUGCCUAACACAUGCAAGUCGAACGAACCCUUCGGGGUUAGUGGCGCACGGGUGCGUAACGCGUGGGAAUCCGCCCUUUGCUUCGGAAUAACUCAGGGAAACUUGUGCUAAUACCGGAUGAUGUCUUCGGACCAAAGAUUUAUCGGCAAGGGAUGAGCCCGCGUAGGAUUAGGUAGUUGGUGGGGUAAAGGCCUACCAAGCCGACGAUCCUUAGCUGGUCUGAGAGGAUGAUCAGCCACACUGGGACUGAGACACGGCCCAGACUCCUACGGGAGGCAGCAGUGGGGAAUAUUGGACAAUGGGCGCAAGCCUGAUCCAGCAAUGCCGCGUGAGUGAUGAAGGCCCUCGGGUCGUAAAGCUCUUUUACCAGGGAUGAUAAUGACAGUACCUGGAGAAUAAGCUCCGGCUAACUCCGUG
rnacentral:rRNA from 1 species